rnacentral:rRNA from 1 species
UACAGAGGCCCCAAGCGUUACUGAGAAUCACUGGGCUUAAAGGGUGCGUAGGUGGUCCGUUAAGUCUGUUGUGAAAACCCUUGGCUCAACCAAGGAAUUGCAUCGGAUACUGGCGGACUUGAGGCUAGUAGAGGUCACUGGAACUGACGGUGGAGCGGUGAAAUGCGUAGAUAUCGUCAGGAACGCCGGUGGUGAAGACGGGUGACUGGGCUAGUUCUGACACUGAGGCACGAAAGCGUGGGGAGCGAACGGG